rnacentral:rRNA from 1 species
UUAAGCGACUAAGCGUACACGGUGGAUGCCCUGGCAGUCAGAGGCGAUGAAGGACGUGCUAAUCUGCGAUAAGCGUCGGUAAGGUGAUAUGAACCGUUAUAACCGGCGAUUUCCGAAUGGGGAAACCCAGUGUGUUUCGACACACUAUCAUUAACUGAAUCCAUAGGUUAAUGAGGCGAACCGGGGGAACUGAAACAUCUAAGUACCCCGAGGAAAAGAAAUCAACCGAGAUUCCCCCAGUAGCGGCGAGCGAACGGGGAGGAGCCCAGAGCCUGAAUCAGUGUGUGUGUUAGUGGAAGCGUCUGGAAAGGCGCGCGAUACAGGGUGACAGCCCCGUACACAAAAAUGCACAUGCUGUGAGCUCGAUGAGUAGGGCGGGACACGUGGUAUCCUGUCUGAAUAUGGGGGGACCAUCCUCCAAGGCUAAAUACUCCUGACUGACCGAUAGUGAACCAGUACCGUGAGGGAAAGGCGAAAAGAACCCCGGCGAGGGGAGUGAAAAAGAACCUGAAACCGUGUACGUACAAGCAGUGGGAGCACGCUUAGGCGUGUGACUGCGUACCUUUUGUAUAAUGGGUCAGCGACUUAUAUUCUGUAGCAAGGUUAACCGAAUAGGGGAGCCGAAGGGAAACCGAGUCUUAACUGGGCGUUAAGUUGCAGGGUAUAGACCCGAAACCCGGUGAUCUAGCCAUGGGCAGGUUGAAGGUUGGGUAACACUAACUGGAGGACCGAACCGACUAAUGUUGAAAAAUUAGCGGAUGACUUGUGGCUGGGGGUGAAAGGCCAAUCAAACCGGGAGAUAGCUGGUUCUCCCCGAAAGCUAUUUAGGUAGCGCCUCGUGAAUUCAUCUCCGGGGGUAGAGCACUGUUUCGGCAAGGGGGUCAUCCCGACUUACCAACCCGAUGCAAACUGCGAAUACCGGAGAAUGUUAUCACGGGAGACACACGGCGGGUGCUAACGUCCGUCGUGAAGAGGGAAACAACCCAGACCGCCAGCUAAGGUCCCAAAGUCAUGGUUAAGUGGGAAACGAUGUGGGAAGGCCCAGACAGCCAGGAUGUUGGCUUAGAAGCAGCCAUCAUUUAAAGAAAGCGUAAUAGCUCACUGGUCGAGUCGGCCUGCGCGGAAGAUGUAACGGGGCUAAACCAUGCACCGAAGCUGCGGCAGCGACACUGUGUGUUGUUGGGUAGGGGAGCGUUCUGUAAGCCUGUGAAGGUGUACUGUGAGGUAUGCUGGAGGUAUCAGAAGUGCGAAUGCUGACAUAAGUAACGAUAAAGCGGGUGAAAAGCCCGCUCGCCGGAAGACCAAGGGUUCCUGUCCAACGUUAAUCGGGGCAGGGUGAGUCGACCCCUAAGGCGAGGCCGAAAGGCGUAGUCGAUGGGAAACAGGUUAAUAUUCCUGUACUUGGUGUUACUGCGAAGGGGGGACGGAGAAGGCUAUGUUGGCCGGGCGACGGUUGUCCCGGUUUAAGCGUGUAGGCUGGUUUUCCAGGCAAAUCCGGAAAAUCAAGGCUGAGGCGUGAUGACGAGGCACUACGGUGCUGAAGCAACAAAUGCCCUGCUUCCAGGAAAAGCCUCUAAGCAUCAGGUAACAUCAAAUCGUACCCCAAACCGACACAGGUGGUCAGGUAGAGAAUACCAAGGCGCUUGAGAGAACUCGGGUGAAGGAACUAGGCAAAAUGGUGCCGUAACUUCGGGAGAAGGCACGCUGAUAUGUAGGUGAAGUCCCUCGCGGAUGGAGCUGAAAUCAGUCGAAGAUACCAGCUGGCUGCAACUGUUUAUUAAAAACACAGCACUGUGCAAACACGAAAGUGGACGUAUACGGUGUGACGCCUGCCCGGUGCCGGAAGGUUAAUUGAUGGGGUCAGCGCAAGCGAAGCUCUUGAUCGAAGCCCCGGUAAACGGCGGCCGUAACUAUAACGGUCCUAAGGUAGCGAAAUUCCUUGUCGGGUAAGUUCCGACCUGCACGAAUGGCGUAAUGAUGGCCAGGCUGUCUCCACCCGAGACUCAGUGAAAUUGAACUCGCUGUGAAGAUGCAGUGUACCCGCGGCAAGACGGAAAGACCCCGUGAACCUUUACUAUAGCUUGACACUGAACAUUGAGCCUUGAUGUGUAGGAUAGGUGGGAGGCUUAGAAGUGUGGACGCCAGUCUGCAUGGAGCCGACCUUGAAAUACCACCCUUUAAUGUUUGAUGUUCUAACGUUGACCCGUAAUCCGGGUUGCGGACAGUGUCUGGUGGGUAGUUUGACUGGGGCGGUCUCCUCCUAAAGAGUAACGGAGGAGCACGAAGGUUGGCUAAUCCUGGUCGGACAUCAGGAGGUUAGUGCAAUGGCAUAAGCCAGCUUGACUGCGAGCGUGACGGCGCGAGCAGGUGCGAAAGCAGGUCAUAGUGAUCCGGUGGUUCUGAAUGGAAGGGCCAUCGCUCAACGGAUAAAAGGUACUCCGGGGAUAACAGGCUGAUACCGCCCAAGAGUUCAUAUCGACGGCGGUGUUUGGCACCUCGAUGUCGGCUCAUCACAUCCUGGGGCUGAAGUAGGUCCCAAGGGUAUGGCUGUUCGCCAUUUAAAGUGGUACGCGAGCUGGGUUUAGAACGUCGUGAGACAGUUCGGUCCCUAUCUGCCGUGGGCGCUGGAGAACUGAGGGGGGCUGCUCCUAGUACGAGAGGACCGGAGUGGACGCAUCACUGGUGUUCGGGUUGUCAUGCCAAUGGCACUGCCCGGUAGCUAAAUGCGGAAGAGAUAAGUGCUGAAAGCAUCUAAGCACGAAACUUGCCCCGAGAUGAGUUCUCCCUGACUCCUUGAGAGUCCUGAAGGAACGUUGAAGACGACGACGUUGAUAGGCCGGGUGUGUAAGCGCAGCGAUGCGUUGAGCUAACCGGUACUAAUGAACCGUGAGGCUUAACCU